UACGUAGGGGGCAAGCGUUGUCCGGAUUUAUUGGGCGUAAAGAGCGUGUAGGCGGCCAUGUAGGUCCGUUGUGAAAACUCGAGGCUCAACCUCGAGACGCCGAUGGAAACCAUGUGGCUAGAGUCCGGAAGAGGAGAGUGGAAUUCCUGGUGUAGCGGUGAAAUGCGCAGAUAUCAGGAAGAACACCCGUGGCUAAGGCGGCCCUCUAGUACGGUACUGACGCUGAGACGCGAAAGCGUGGGGAGCAAACAGG
rnacentral:rRNA from 1 species